UAUUAAGGGAAAACUCUGUGUUGAAGGAGAUUUUUUUUUUUAUCCUUUCUAGUUUCUUUUUUAAUUACUCCUGUUGCUGCUGUUACUAAUCAGCUUGUUUCACAUCAUGCUAAACAGCACAGCUGGAGAAUUUUCUCACUGAUUGAAAGUAUGUGAGGACAGAGUAGGCACCAGUGGGACUGCAGUGGAAAUGACUGCAAAGAGAUUUCAAAGAUAUUAUACGAAGGCAAUAAUUUUUUGGCAUCUGGGGAUGGCUGAGGAAGAGAAGAAAGAAAAACAUUGUGGGAGGAUUACAGAAGAAAAGAUGUAUUUGGGUCUUCCUGAGUUGAUCCUGGGAGCAAUGCCUACUGAAGUGCACACCAAAGAUUAAAUCAGCUUGUGUUCUUUUGGAAGAGAGGUGGAGGUGUCUUCAUGGGACUUAUUAAUGACCUCCAGAAAGAAUAUUAAUGUGCAGGAAGAAAAAGAGGAAUGAUAAGCAGGCUCCCAGAAACCAUCUGGGAAAAAAAGUAUCAAGAUACUAGGAGAAAGGUGAACAAUUUGUGUGAGAAGAGUCUAUUUGAAUUUGAGAGAGCUGCAAGUCACGAAGAAUCACCACUGUUACUGAAAAGGGUGGGCUCCACCAGUGCUGUUAUUUUCCUUCCCUACGUGUCAGAUGUUGCUGAGAUGAAUUCUUUUGCUCAACACACCCUACCCAUUCCGGAUUUCCAGGAUAGAACAGAACAGGAUAUUCAAAGUUGGAGGGGAGGAUUGCCACAAGGAUCAUCGAGUCCAAUUCAUGGCUACACAUGGGACUACCUAAAAAUUAAACCAUGUGUCUGAGAGCAGUGUCCAAACACUUCCUGAACUCAUGACUGAGGCCAUGGCUAUUUCUCUGAGGAGCCUGUUGGCUCUGAAGGGGUGGCAGAGCCACCCCUUCAGAGAAGAACCUUUUCCUGAUAUCUAGCCUGAACCUCUCCUGCUGCAGCUUCAUGCUGUUCCCUGGUGCUGGUCACCAUGAAGAAGAGAUCAGUUGCUUUCC
rnacentral:lncRNA from 1 species